CACAGCACAAAGCAACAAAUACCAAUAACGCCUUUAAUCUCCUAGAAACUAAUUGAGCCACACUAUUAUUAUAGAUGAACUAAUGCUAGAACUAGUAACAAGAAAACUUUCUCUUAGCACAGCUGUGUCCCAGAAAUAGAAAAACUACUGGACAUUAACAGACCAAAACAGGCACAACAACACACAGCUAAAACUGUUUUAAAUACUGUCAACCCGACACUGGCGUGCCCAAAAGACAGAUUAAAAGCCGUAUAAGGAACUCAGCAAAACCUUGUCCCAACUGUUUACCAAAAACAUAGCCUUUAGCCAAAUAAGUAUUAAAGGUCCCGCCUGCCCAGUGAAAUAUUUUUAAACGGCCGCGGUAUCCUAACCGUGCAAAGGUAGCGUAAUCACU
rnacentral:rRNA from 1 species